CUGUGGUGAAGAAGAGAGACGUGACUCUGAGAGGCCUCAUUGAAUACAUGGGAGAGAGUGGGCAAGAGCUAAUCUCUGACUACUAUGGAAAAACGGAGAGCAGUGUCCAUGAGGACUUGAAAAUAUGCAGAUAUAUGUCUGCCGUGAACCAGAUGCAGUGGGCAUCAUCUUUGAGGGAAUCCCAGUGCUUACUGAUCUUGGAAAUCUGGCCAGGGCGUGUUGCCUGCUUCUGGGGAUGACAUGCUCUGAACCUGCAGUAUCCACCACAACUCUGCAAAACAUUUGAGGUGUUCCAAAGACUUUUUGUGGGACUUGACACACUGCGCCCAAA